GACGAAGGUGGCGAGCGUUGUUCGGAAUCACUGGGCAUAAAGCGCACGUAGGCGGUGACGUAAGUCGGGUGUGAAAUCCCUCGGCCUAACCGAGGAACUGCGCCCGAUACUGCGUUGCUUGAGGAUCAGAGGGGUGCAUGGAAUUUCCGGUGGAGCGGUGAAAUGCGUUGAUAUCGGAAGGAACGCCGGCGGCGAAAGCGAUGCACUGGCUGAUUUCUGACGCUGAGGUGCGAAAGCCAGGGGAGCAAACGGG
rnacentral:rRNA from 1 species